UUCAGUGCGAUGUGUGAAUCA
rnacentral:miRNA from 1 species